CGAGGUGUAACUCAGGUGGUAGAGUGCUUGGUUUGGGACCAAGAUGCCGCAGGUUCGAGUCCUGUCACCUCGACCA
rnacentral:tRNA from 1 species